UGGGGGAUAUUGCACAAUGGGGGGAACCCUGAUGCAGCGACGCCGCGUGGGUGAAGAAGCGCCUCGGCGCGUAAAGCCCUGUCAGCAGGGAAGAAAAUGACGGUACCUGAAGAAGAAGCCCCGGCUAACUACGUGCCAGCAGCCGCGGUAAUACGUAGGGGGCAAGCGUUAUCCGGAUUUACUGGGUGUAAAGGGGGCGCAGACGGCGAUGCAAGCCAGGAGUGAAAGCCCGGGGCCCAACCCCGGGACUGCUCUUGGAACUGCGUGGCUGGAGUGCAGGAGGGGCAGGCGGAAUUCCUGGUG
rnacentral:rRNA from 1 species